rnacentral:rRNA from 1 species
CCUACGGGUGGCUGCAGUGGGGAAUAUUGCACAAUGGGCGCAAGCCUGAUGCAGCCAUGCCGCGUGUGUGAAGAAGGCCUUCGGGUUGUAAAGCACUUUCAGCGGGGAGGAAGGCGGUGAGGUUAAUAACCUCAUCGAUUGACGUUACCCGCAGAAGAAGCACCGGCUAACUCCGUGCCAGCAGCCGCGGUAAUACGGAGGGUGCAAGCGUUAAUCGGAAUUACUGGGCGUAAAGCGCACGCAGGCGGUCUGUCAAGUCGGAUGUGAAAUCCCCGGGCUCAACCUGGGAACUGCAUUCGAAACUGGCAGGCUAGAGUCUUGUAGAGGGGGGUAGAAUUGCAGGUGUAGCGGUGAAACGCGUAGAGAUCUGGAGGAACACCGGUGGCGAAGGCGGCCCCCUGGACAAAGACUGACGCUCAGGUGCGAAAGCGUGGGGAGCAAACAGGAUUAGAUACCCGGGUAGUC